AUACGUAGGUGGCAAGCGUUGUCCGGAAUUAUUGGGCGUAAAGCGCGCGCAGGUGGUUCCUUAAGUCUGAUGUGAAAGCCCCCGGCUCAACCGGGGAGGGUCAUUGGAAACUGGGGAACUUGAGUGCAGAAGAGGAUAGUGGAAUUCCAAGUGUAGCGGUGAAAUGCGUAGAGAUUUGGAGGAACACCAGUGGCGAAGGCGACUGUCUGGUCUGUAACUGACACUGAGGCGCGAAAGCGUGGGGAGCAAACAGGAUUAGAUACCCUGGUAGUCCACGCCGUAAACGAUGAGUGCUAAGUGUUGGGGGGUUUCCGCCCCUCAGUGCUGCAGCUAACGCAUUAAGCACUCCGCCUGGGGAGUACGGUCGCAAGACUGAAACUCAAAUGAAUUGACAGGG
rnacentral:rRNA from 1 species